GAAGAGGAUAUAAAAGAUUUCGUUUUAGAUUAUUUGUAUUUAAAUGGUUACUGAUGGUAUUUAUUGGAAUUUAUUUACAGUAAUUCCUAUUAAAGGAACCUUAGUAAAGGCCAUGUCAAGGUUCAGUGGAGCCUUACAGCUCACCGAUAUAGAUGACUUUAUCACGCCGUCACAGAUAUGCAUAAAACCCUUGCAAACUGUGCCCAUAGUUAAGGUGACGUCGAGGACUGGAGCCAAAAUCACUGUAAAGGGAGACAGCUGUUUUGAGGAAUCUAUGAGUGGUAACCAAAAACUUAAAAAAGUAGAAAUCACUCUGCAAGACUGCCUGGCCUGCUCAGGGUGUAUAACUUCCGCCGAAGGCGUUCUGAUCAACCAGCAGAGCCUGGACGAGCUCCUCAAGGUCCUUUCUGAGAACUCAAAAAAAAAGGCCUUUGGGGAGUGCGAUAAUGUGCGUACCAUUGUGUUCACUGUGGCUACCCAGCCUUUACUGAGUUUAGCUCAGCGAUAUCAGAUGGGGGCGGAGGAUGCUGCGCGCCAUUUAACAGGGUACUUUCGCAGUUUAGGAGCCGACUAUGUUUUGUGCACCAAAGUGGCCGAUGAUCUAGCGCUGCUUGAGUGCCGUCAGGAAUUUAUGGAAAGGUACCGCGAAAACAAUUCCUUGACCAUGCUCAGUUCUUCUUGUCCGGGGUGGGUAUGCUAUGCGGAAAAGACUCAUGGGAACUUCAUACUGCCUUUCGUUGCCACCACCCGAUCGCCGCAGCAAAUAAUGGGAGUGCUAGUGAAGCAAUUCUUAGCCGACAAGCUGAAUAUUCCUGGAUCGCGCAUCUACCAUGUGACCGUGAUGCCCUGCUACGAUAAGAAGCUAGAGGCCUCCCGUGAUGACUUCUUCAGCAAACUGAACAAUGCACAGGACGUGGACUGUGUAAUCACAUCAGUUGAGGUUGAACAGAUGUUGACCGAGCGCCAGCGAACAUUGGCUGAAUACGACCCCGAUGAUCUGGACUGGCCCUGGUCUGAAAUAAGACCAGAAUUUAUGGUGUGGGCCCACGAGGCGACCCUAUCUGGUGGUUACGCAGAACACAUAUUCAAGUUCGCUGCUCGAGAACUCUUCAACAAGGAAACACCUGAAGAGCUUGAGUUCAAACAACUUAGAAAUCGCGACUUUCGAGAAAUAACUCUUGAAAAGGAUGGCAAGGCCGUCUUAAAAUUUGCUAUUGCCAACGGCUUCCGGAACAUACAAAACCUGGUUCAAAAACUGAAGCGUGGAAAAGGUGCACAUUACCAUUUUGUAGAGAUUAUGGCAUGUCCUUCAGGCUGUGUUAACGGAGGUGCACAGGUACGACCCAUAACCGGGCAGCAUGUUCGCGAACUUACCCAGCAACUAGAGGAAAUGUACCAGAAGCUUCCAAGAUCCCAGCCCGAAAACGCUUUAACAAAACACAUAUACAACGACUUUCUAGACGGCUUUCAAACGGAAAAGUCCUAUAACCUGCUUCACACUAGUUACCAUGAUGUGGUAACUCAGCUCAGUACAUCUCUAAAUAUUAAGUGGUGAAUGUAUAUUUUUCUGCAAUAUUUUCUGUUAAGUUUACGGUCAUAGCAUAUGGGUGGAGUAUCCCGAAUGCCACAGCUCGCAACAUAAAACAUCGAUAACUACGCUGUCUCACAUCACCCAACUUUCUGUCAUCACUAAGAACCAAACAUAAACAAAGCCAAGCGCUCCCACCUAACCAAGGAUGCUCGUAGGAUUCUGCUGGAGCAACACCCAUUCUCGGUCGACAGAAGCCGCUCCAUCUCCCCCACAGGGGCAUCUCACUUACACAUUUCGGGUUUUACAGACAUUUAAUAAAUAUGCCUUCAAGACCAAAACUUGGCCGCCGUCUUCGAUUUUACGCGGACAAAGCGGAGAAUUCGUUCCCUAGAAAGGGCUGCAGGCGCCCCGGAAUGUUAUGCUCUACCAGUCAUGUAUUGGUAGAGCUCGUAUGGAAACACGGCACACAAAGGGACACACGCGAUGCGCACGUGUCGGGUCACCUAAUCCUGAAGAGCUCCUGGGGAAAUUAGGGUUAGGCCAAACGACACGCAAUAUGCGCUGUAAUCUAUACUACUGGAAACUUUUAAUCGCGACCUUUCUUAUAAGCAAACGACGAGAACAACUAAGGCUUUAAAUCGGGUCUAAUUCCGAAUAAAUUUACAUUUAACAAGGAA